CCUACGGGUGGCAGCAGUGGGGAAUAUUGGGCAAUGGACGCAAGUCUGACCCAGCAACGCCGCGUGAAGGAAGAAGGCUCUCGGGUUUUAAACUUACUUUCAGGGGGAAGAGCAGAAGACGGUACCCCUUGAAUAAGCCACGGCUAACUACGGGCCAGCAGCCGCGGGAAUACGUAGGUGGCAGGCGUUGUCCGGAUUUACUGGGUUGAAAUGGCGUGCAGCCGGGAAGACAAGUGAGAUGUGAAAUCCCGCGGCUCAACCGCGGAACUGCAUUUGAAACUGUUUUUCUUGAGUAUAGGAGAGGCAAGCGGAAUUCCUAGUGUAGCGGUGAAAUGCGUAGAUAUUAGGAAGAACACCAGUGGCGAAGGCGGAUUACUGGACGACAACUGACGGUGAGGCGCGAAAGCGUGGGGAGCAAACAGGAUUAGAUACCCGUGUAGUC
rnacentral:rRNA from 1 species